rnacentral:rRNA from 1 species
CCUGCUCAGGAUGAACGCUGGCGGCGUGCUUAACACAUGCAAGUCGAACGAUGAUCCCAGCUUGCUGGGGGAUUAGUGGCGAACGGGUGAGUAACACGUGAGUAACCUGCCCUUAACUCUGGGAUAAGCCUGGGAAACUGGGUCUAAUACCGGAUAUGACUCCUCAUCGCAUGGUGGGGGGUGGAAAGCUUUAUUGUGGUUUUGGAUGGACUCGCGGCCUAUCAGCUUGUUGGUGAGGUAAUGGCUCACCAAGGCGACGACGGGUAGCCGGCCUGAGAGGGUGACCGGCCACACUGGGACUGAGACACGGCCCAGACUCCUACGGGAGGCAGCAGUGGGGAAUAUUGCACAAUGGGCGAAAGCCUGAUGCAGCGACGCCGCGUGAGGGAUGACGGCCUUCGGGUUGUAAACCUCUUUCAGUAGGGAAGAAGCGAAAGUGACGGUACCUGCAGAAGAAGCGCCGGCUAACUA